rnacentral:lncRNA from 1 species
AUGGCACGGAGUAAAGGAACCCGCAUGCACGCAGGGUCCAGUGGCGGAGCGGGAAAAAAGAGGGCUCUGUCUUUUGGAGCCAACAGUUUUUCAGGGGUCGUGACUACGAGGCAGCUCUCCGAGUCGGCUCCAAAGGGAGGGAGGAAGGAACGCAGGGAGGGUCACUACACUGAGGCUUUCCCACGGUCGCUCCACCACCUCCUUAACACCGGGAUAACGAAACACCCGUGGAGAGAGGAGCCAUCAGACAAAAGGGCAAGAGUAGAAACAAAAUCCAUUUCAAAAUGCAGAGAAAAGAAAUGAACAGCAACAACAACAAUGACAAAAAAAGCCAAAAGCUGUUCUCUGCAAAGGCUGUCUUUCACUGCGAAUUAUGAAGAUGGAAGGUAUGUAACAUAAUGAUCUAGCUUUGAAGUAUUCUAGACUUAAUGAUUCAUU